UACAGAGGGUGCAAGCGUUAAUCGGAAUUACUGGGCGUAAAGGGCGCGUAGGCGGCCUGUUAAGUCAGACGUGAAAUCCCUCGGCUCAACCGGGGAACUGCGUCUGAUACUGGCGGGCUUGAAUUCGGGAGAGGGAUGUGGAAUUCCAGGUGUAGCGGUGAAAUGCGUAGAUAUCUGGAGGAACACCGGUGGCGAAGGCGGCAUCCUGGACCGACAUUGACGCUGAGGCGCGAAAGCCAGGGGAGCAAACGGG
rnacentral:rRNA from 1 species